GGGCGAAUGGUUUAGUGGUAUAAUACUCCCUUAGCAUGGAUGCAACGAUUGGGAGUGGUCCAGGGUUCGAUUCCCUGUUCGUCCA